AACGAACGCUGGCGGCAGGCUUAACACAUGCAAGUCGAGCGCGCGCCUUCGGGCGUGAGCGGCGGACGGGUGAGUAACGCGUGGGAACGUGCCCUUCUCUCCGGAAUAGCCCUGGGAAACCGGGAGUAAUGCCGGAUACGCCGUUUCAUGGAGACAUGGGAUGGGAAAGAUUUAUCGGGGAAGGAUCGGCCCGCGUUGGAUUAGGUAGUUGGUGGGGUAACGGCCUACCAAGCCGACGAUCCAUAGCUGGUUUGAGAGGAUGAUCAGCCACACUGGGACUGAGACACGGCCCAGACUCCUACGGGAGGCAGCAGUGGGGAAUCUUGGACAAUGGGGGCAACCCUGAUCCAGCCAUGCCGCGUGAGCGAUGAAGGCCUUAGGGUUGUAAAGCUCUUUCAGCGGGGAAGAUAAUGACGGUACCCGCAGAAGAAGCCCCGGCUAACUCCGUGCCAGCCGCCGCCGUAACAC
rnacentral:rRNA from 1 species